GUAAAAGGUUCUUGGUUUGUUGACCUCAGGCAACAUCAGUCUUGCUGUUCCUGGUAGAAUUGUCCAAUAAAGUUAAGAGUGUUUAGGAAAGUAGUAAGAUAGUACUUAGGACCUAUUCUAUACUACAGGGAAGUAGUUUUGCCCACUGAGGGGGGUUUAUCAUAGUAACCCUUCAGCCUUCUCCAGAGUCCAGCAUUGGAACUAGAUUAAUGGAGAGAAAAUCCCCCUCAAAAUCAACCCAUAGCUUUGAUAUCUG